UACAGAGGGUGCAAGCGUUGUUCGGAAUUAUUGGGCGUAAAGGGCGCGUAGGCGGUGCCACAAGUCACCUGUGAAAUCUCCGGGCUUAACUCGGAGCCUGCAGGCGAAACUGUGGUGCUGGAGUGUGGGAGAGGUGCGUGGAAUUCCCGGUGUAGCGGUGAAAUGCGUAGAUAUCAGGAGGAACACCGGUGGUGUAAACGGCUCUCUGGACCGUAAC
rnacentral:rRNA from 1 species